UACGUAGGGUGCAAGCGUUGUCCGGAAUUAUUGGGCGUAAAGAGCUCGUAGGCGGUUCGUCGCGUCGGCUGUGAAAACUCGGGGCUCAACUCCGAGCUAGCAGUCGAUACGGGCGGACUUGAGUGCUGUAGGGGAGACUGGAAUUCCUGGUGUAGCGGUGAAAUGCGCAGAUAUCAGGAGGAACACCGGUGGCGAAGGCGGGUCUCUGGGCAGUAACUGACGCUGAGGAGCGAAAGCGUGGGGAGCGAACAGG
rnacentral:misc_RNA from 1 species